GUGCUCACUUCAGCAGCACAUAUACUAAAAUGGAAUGAUACAGAGAUUAGCAUGGCCCCUUGCAAAGAUGACAUGCAAACUUGUGAAGUGUUCCAUAUUUGA